GGGAUAACAUUCUGAAAAGAAUGCUAAUAUCGCAUGACAUAUCGGAACCACAUGGUUUUGAUAUCAAAGAUUUUAUCGCUUGAAGAUGGACUCGCGUCCGAUUAGUUAGUUGGUGAGGUAACGGCUCACCAAGACCGCGAUCGGUAGCCGGACUGAGAGGUUGAACGGCCACAUUGGGACUGAGACACGGCCCAGACUCCUACGGGAGGCAGCAGUGGGGGAUAUUGCGCAAUGGGGGCAACCCUGACGCAGCAACGCCGCGUGAAGGAUGAAGGUUUUCGGAUUGUAAACUUCUUUUAUUAAGGACGAAAAAUGACGGUACUUAAUGAAUAAGCUCCGGCUAACUACGUGCCAGCAGCCGCGGUAAUACGUAGGGAGCAAGCGUUGUCCGGAUUUACUGGGUGUAAAGGGUGCGUAGGCGGCUUUGCAAGUCAGAUGUGAAAUCUAUGGGCUCAACCCAUAAACUGCAUUUGAAACUGUAGAGCUUGAGUGAAGUAGAGGCAGGCGGAAUUCCCCGUGUAGCGGUGAAAUGCGUAGAGAUGGGGAGGAACACCAGUGGCGAAGGCGGCCUGCUGGGCUUUAACUGACGCUGAGGCACGAAAGCGUGGGUAGCAAACAGGAUUAGAUACCCUGGUAGUCCACGCUGUAAACGAU
rnacentral:rRNA from 1 species